rnacentral:rRNA from 1 species
AUACGGAGGGUCCAAGCGUUAUCCGGAAUCAUUGGGUUUGAAGGGUCCGCAGGCGGUCAAUUAAGUCAGAGGUGAAAGCCCAUCGCUCAACGAUGGAACUGCCUUUGAUACUGGUUGACUUGAGUUAUACGGAAGUAGAUAGAAUAAGUAGUGUAGCGGUGAAAUGCAUAGAUAUUACUUAGAAUACCGAUUGCGAAGGCAGUCUACUACGUAUAUACUGACGCUGAGGGACGAAAGCGUGGGGAGCGAACAGGAUUAGAAACCCCAGUAGUCC